rnacentral:rRNA from 1 species
GACGAACGCUGGCGGCGUGCUUAACACAUGCAAGUCGAACGGAAAGGCCCUGCUUUUGUGGGGUGCUCGAGUGGCGAACGGGUGAGUAACACGUGAGUAACCUGCCCUUGACUUUGGGAUAACUUCAGGAAACUGGGGCUAAUACCGGAUAUGAGCUCCUGCUGCAUGGUGGGGGUUGGAAAGUUUCGGCGGUUGGGGAUGGACUCGCGGCUUAUCAGCUUGUGGGUGGGGUAGUGGCUUACCAAGGCUUUGACGGGUAGCCGGCCUGAGAGGGUGACCGGCCACAUUGGGACUGAGAUACGGCCCAGACUCCUACGGGAGGCAGCAGUGGGGAAUAUUGCACAAUGGGCGGAAGACUGAUGCAGCAACGCCGAGUGCGGGAUGACGGCCUUCGGGUUGUAAACCGCUUUCGCCUGUGACGAAGCGUGAGUGACGGUAAUGGGUAAAGAAGCACCGGCUAACUACGUG